rnacentral:sRNA from 1 species
UUCUUUCUUAUUCUUUUUUAACAUUAAUUGAUUGUUUUACACUUUAGAAUAAAAUAUUUUUUGGCGGCAGGUCCUCUCCCACCAGGUCCAAGAAUUGUAAUGAUGAUGAAGAUGGGGAGAGAGACCCCCAGAAUAUUACCCCGAAGGCAACUUUUACUCUGGGGGACUCUCCCAUUCGAAAUCCGAAAGUGGCGGGAUCCUGGUGAGAGAAACUUUCUCUUUUAAUUCGUCUUUGGAGCACUCUGCUGGCCGAUUUGUCCCAUGGUCGUCUUGGCGGGUGAGUUGGUAUUUUUUCCCAUCAGGUGGCAACUCCUUGUGUCAGGUUGGAGGCGGGUGGCAGCACUCGUUGGGAAAAAAGGACGUCGACUUGAGGACAACAUUGGAGGGCAGUGGAUUUGGCGUGAGACCUGUAUGAAGCAUCGUCGUGUGGGUGGACAUUGUGUGGCGUCUUCGUGUACAGGUGCAGGUGAGUCCAGAGGAUGUCGUCAGGAUGGGUAAAAUAUAUCACAGGAAUAAGAAGAGGACAUGUAAACAAAGAUUUCUGGACAGGAUUUAGGAGCAUAUCACAUAGAUUGAACAGGUGUUGAUGGCGAUGGAUGGCCUUUUCGCAUGUAUCCUUACAUGGUCUGCGCGUUCGAUAGGAAGUUCGUCGAGUGGUGGGGCAGGCAGUGGAUCGUGUGAGUAGGGAUUUCCGAUGCAGGUGUAUAGGGAGGAAGAGAGGGAUCAUGCUUGUGCUCAUGUACUAAUGGAGAAUGUUAGGAUCAUGCCGGAGCUGAGAUGUAUAACUCCUGUCGUCAGCUAGGUGGUGGGGAUUUUGUCAGAUCAAUCAAGUCUGGAGGAAUGUUUAUUUCCCAGGGGAGAAUCUUGAUGUCGGGAAAGACUAGGCGUCUCACCAUCAGAGGUUGACCGCGUAGCAUCCGUUCUGCUCGUUGUAGGGAGAUUUCACGAUUUACGUAUGAUUUUCUAAUCCAAUUUAUUGCUCUCUCGCCAAGCCUAUUUAUCCCGGAGCUUGAGAAAUUGGGAUGUACGUAUUUGGGCUUGAACUUGGCAUCUUCGGCAGCAUCGUCCUCCUUUUUUAUGUUUAGUCGAAGGAGCGUAGGGAUGAUGCAGGGUUGUGGGUGAGUUUUCCUCGAUUCUUUGAAAUGUUCCUCGAUCUGCUUCGCAAGUCUCGGCCUGGUCUUUUUAGUACAUUCAGGGGUGACCAUAUGAAGGCUGAGGUGUUGGGCCACAGGGUUUAUGUGCGAGGCCAGGGAGUUCGCAAGCCGGGUACUUUGGGCCUGAUAAGUUUCUUCCAGGGUCUUAAUUUUAUGUGCUCUGGCGAUGUCCUUAUUGGGUACGUGUCUGUCGUAGCCGAGCGCUCGUCUUAUAAUUGAGUUUGUCGUUUGUUGGGCCCUUAGUACCGCCGAUUCAGAGGCAAGCGAUGCCCACACCGGUAUGGCGUAUUGCCAUAGGGGGAUGAUGAGUUGUUUAAUAAGUGUGGCCUUGGUUUGCCGAGGUAGAGGGCUGGUGGGCCCAAGAAGCCAGUUUAGGCUUUUUGCCCUGGCCCGUGUCCUGAUG